rnacentral:rRNA from 1 species
CAGGGUAGCAAUACCUGGGUGGCGACCGGCAAACGGGUGCGGAACACGUACAGAACCUUCCUUCGAGCGGGGAAUAGCCCAGAGAAAUUUGGAUUAAUACCCCAUAGCAUAAUGGAGUGGCAUCACUUUGUUAUUAAAGAUUUAUCACUUGAAGAUGGCUGUGCGUAUGAUUAGGUAGUUGGCGGGGUAACGGCCCACCAAGCCUACGAUCAUUAACUGGUGUGAGAGCACGACCAGUCACACGGGCACUGAGACACGGGCCCGACUCCUACGGGAGGCAGCAGUAAGGAAUAUUGGUCAAUGGACGCAAGUCUGAACCAGCCAUGCCGCGUGGAGGAUGAAGGUCCUCUGGAUUGUAAACUUCUUUUAUCUGGGACGAAAAAAGGGAAUUCUUUCUCGUCUGACGGUACCAGAUGAAUAAGCACCGGCUAACUCCGUGCCAGCAGCCGCGGUAAUACGGAGGGUGCAAGCGUUAUCCGGAUUCACUGGGUUUAAAGGGUGCGUAGGCGGGUAUGUAAGUCCGUGGUGAAAUCUCCGAGCUUAACUCGGAAACUGCCAUGGGUACUGCGUAUCUUGAAUGUUGUGGAGGUGAGCGGAAUAUGUCAUGUAGCGGUGAAAUGCUUAGAUAUGACAUAGAACACCAAUUGCGAAGGCAGCUCACUACACAAAUAUUGACGCUGAGGCACGAAAGCGUGGGGAUCAAACAGGAUUAGAUACCCUGGUAGUCCACGCCCUAAACG